UGUGUGUGUGUGUGUGUGUGUGUGUGUGUGAGAGAGAGUGUGUGUGUCUGUGUGUGUAGGUGUGUGUGUGAGUGUGUGUGUGUGUGCGCACGUUCAAUCGCCCUCAUUCUUGCGCAUCCGCCAGUAACACCCGGAGUCAAUUUGGUUUGACUCCCAACAGGCCCACAGGUCGCUGUUGGAGGGGUGAGGGUCAGCAAGGGGUCCAGGGGGGCUGCCUCUGUGGAUGUAGAUCCAUCAGCCACGCGUCAGGACCCUGUCCUAUAGUAGACCCCAUGGCGCCUGAGCAAUCUCAGCGCUCACAGUACCGGUCUAGCCCCGAUGGCACACUGUGUUUUGGGUUUUGGUUGGGUUUAUUUUCCAUUCCUUAUAUUUCCUUUUACUAAGUGCGCCUGUCGCUAUGGCAGGUGUGUGCUCGGUGCACGUUGUGGUAGGCUGGUCACAUGCACGGUUUUCACCUACACACACGCGCAAAAGACUGACCCUGAUUGGUGCGCUUCCACACACUUGCACACACCUGUAUGCUUGUGCACGCUGACGCAUGCACGCACACACACACACACAGGCAUACACUUUCACACUUUCACAUUAUGCACAUAACUGACCCAUCAGCUACACAUUUUUAACACAGGCACACACACACACACACACACACACACACACACACACACACACACACACACACACACACACACACACACACACACACACACACACACACACACAGCCCAUCACCCACUGACUGAUAACACACAGGUACACACACUCAUCUAUCUUUCUCAGAACACACACACACGCACACGAUCUGUCGCACACACUGAUAACACAUAGAAGGAAAGACUUACACACACACACACACACACACACACACACACACACACACACACACACACACACACACACACACACACACACACACUCACAACCCAUCACUCACACACUGAUAACACACAGGUGCCCACACACACAAACACAGUGACACUUGGUCUCAACUGUCUCUCCCUGUCAGACAGAAUGGGGAGGAGGAGGAGGAGGGAAGCUGGCAGGCUGACUGUCAAGAUGGCGGCCGAUCAUCUCCAUGAUUUCAAACUUAAUUAACCUGGGCGGCUCUCGCUGCUCACCGGCCCAUCACAGAGACAGAGAAAGACAGAGCAAGGUGGAGAGAGACUCACAUAAAGAGAGGCAGAGAGAGACAGAGAGAGAGGUGGAGAGAGACUCACACAAAGGCAGAGAGAGAGAGACGAAGAGGGAGAGAGGGUAUAAACAUUAAAUAUUCUUCAUUACGUCCAUCCUCUCAUUCACAGGGUGAGAGACACCGAUAGAUAUUGUGAGCGCAUGUAUAGAGAGUCUAAGCAUUCCUUCGUCAUUUCCGCUCAGACGGAGAGAGAGAUCUGAUUCAGACGGAGAGAGAGAGCUUCAUCUACGCUCUGGUUCCAACUGCAGCAAGUCCAGGGUGGAACUGAAGCCCAACCUGUAGCGUGUGUGUGUGUGUGUGUGUGUGUGUGUGUGUGUGUGUGUGUGUGUGUGUGUGUGUGUGUUAAUAUACAAACACGCACCACACCAGUUUGACUAUCUGGCGAAAUCUAUAUUUUUGUUUUCCUCCUCUGUACUCUGUGUUUUUGUUAUGGUUGUGUGUGUGUGUGUGUGUGAUUGUGUGUGCGUGUGUGUGCUGCUACGUGUGUGGGUGUGAUUACAACAACCGUUGGUAUACAGAUCAGCCACCGGCUCGCCCGAAACCUCCAGCCUUCACUCCCACCAAUUCUCCUGUUCCGUUUGUGUACUGUGGACUGUAACCUCGUCGACCGCUCAGCCUCGCUCACC
ensembl:lncRNA